UACGUAGGGUGCGAGCGUUGUCCGGAAUUAUUGGGCGUAAAGGGCUCGUAGGCGGUUUGUCGCGUCGGGAGUGAAAACACCGGGCUUAACUCGGUGCUUGCUUUCGAUACGGGCAGACUAGAGGUAUGCAGGGGAGAACGGAAUUCCUGGUGUAGCGGUGAAAUGCGCAGAUAUCAGGAGGAACACCGGUGGCGAAGGCGGUUCUCUGGGACGGUACUGACGCUGAGACGCGAAAGCGUGGGGAGCGAACAGGAUUAGAAACCCCAGUAGU
rnacentral:rRNA from 1 species